rnacentral:misc_RNA from 1 species
UUAACUAUUAUAUAGUUUCUCAGACUGCAAUGAUUCAAGAGUUUAGGUCCUCUGGCAGGCGCGGUCCAGCCGGAGCCGGGGGCCCGCCAAAGCAACAAAGUUUGGUAUACAAAGGGUGAGAAUAGGGCUGUGAAGCCUUGUAUUCUUUAAUGAUCCUUCCGCAGGUUCACCUACGGAAA